GGUUUCUCAUCUUGACUCCUCCUGUUGAUGUUGACCCACCACUGUGUGGAUGUGGGAUGGAAACCUGCUCUAAUUUGGGAAACCUAUGGAGGAAAUUCUUGAAGAAUUCUAACUGCCUUGGGUUUUCAAAAUAAAUGUUUUCCGUCGACAAGAAUCUCACUUUGGCGAAAGUCUUGCUAAAGUUGGGAAAUUCGGAAGGCAGCAGCAUUCUCGGCCCUCGUGUCACAUCCAUUUGAAUAAUUGUUAGUGACUUUAGCGACACGCAGCAAGAAAUGAAUGAGAUCUCUGGAAUUUGACCGAAAAAUUUGUCAAGUUUCAAGAUUUGGAUUUGAGGUCCGAGAAGGGACGCGAAGCGGGGAAAGUUUGCGAAUGCGAUGCUCUGUCUGUAGCUCUAUUUGACAUGCGGCCAACACUUUUGGAAUGUUUGUACACCAAGAAGUCGGGUUUGGGGAAAUGGGAGCGAGUUUCUCCAGGGAGAAGCGACCAAUCUGAUUCUGCCCGAUGGCAGUGCACAUCAAGUUCCCAAUUACCUAGGUAUUCGAAAGUAAAUUAAUUAGCGAUGCUAGAUACGCAUAAUUUGCCAACUUUGGUGGGAUUUCGCUCUAAAUCGGUAAUGAAGGCUGUCAGUUUUCGGUUAAUACUGAAAUUAUGUAUACAUAUAAUCCUUAAAAUACUGGAUAAAUCUGAAAAUGCUCACCAUUUCUGGAAAUGUGUAUGGAGUAAGAACUUUCUCGUCAUCUUUAAUAAUAUCUGGGAUUUCAUCUGGGAUUUCACUUACUUCACUAACUUCCUCCAUAACUAGUUGGCCACAACCUCCUACCGAUACUGAACUAGUUACACAAAUUGAGCCUCUUUUUUCAACCAACCUGCUUCACGAGAGAGAGUUGUCGUACGUUAUCAAUGACGACAUUUUGUCACACUGUAUGUAAAAAUCCUUAAUUUUUAUUUUUAGACGUUGUCAAUAUUGAAAUGAGUGCAAGAACUCUUACUGAAACUCUCAGCAAGUAGGAAACUCCUUUAAAAAAACGCGAAUAUUAUGCUUCGCUUGCAAAUCUCCAUAAAUCAUGUACCGCGUCAUAAUUGACAUGCCAAAGUAUAGUUGUACGACACAAAUGGCACAAUGUGGGUAUUAAUAGAUCAUCACUUUAUUUAACGUUAAUGUAUUACACAAUUACAUGUUUAAUUUCUAGUAUAUAUCGUUAUUACAAAGUACCGUUUGUUUGAAAUGUUACAGUGCAUUAAAACUUAUACAAAACUACAUUUACAUGUUUAA